AGCUUUGCGCAGUGGCAGUAUCGUAGCCAAUGAGGUUUAUCCGAGGUGCGAUUAUUGCUAAUCAAAAACUUUUCACAUGGAAGGUCAGACAAAGGGAUGGAUUAUUUUUUUUUUUUUUGAGAGAACUGUUGAUUU
rfam:Tupaia chinensis contig87729, whole genome shotgun sequence.